rnacentral:rRNA from 1 species
CGCCUGUUUAACAAAAACAUGUCCUGUUGAUAUAUUUAACAGGUCAGACCUGCCCGGUGAUGAAUUUAACGGCCGCGGUAUAUUGACCGUGCAAAGGUAGCAUAAUCAUUAGUCUUUUAAUAGGAGGCUGGAAUGAAAGGUUUAACGAGAAAUUAUCUGUCUCAAUUACAAAAUUGAAUUUAUCUUUUAAGUCAAAAGACUUAAAUUAUGUUGGUGGACGAGAAGACCCUAUAGAGCUUUACAUAUUUUUAUAAAAAGGUAUUUAGGAAAUAAUUUGCUUUUUUAGGUUAAACAUGUUUUGUUGGGGUGACAAUAAAUAUAUAUUUAACUUUUAUCAUAUUAUUUACAUUAAUAUAUGAUUUUUGGAUCCAAAAAUUUUGAUCAAUAGAUCAAGUUACCUUAGGGAUAACAGCG